UUAUUUUUUUAUAUUUAUUUUUUAUUUUUCGUUUUAUUUUUCGUUUUAUUUUUUUUUAAUUUUUUUUAAUUUUUUAUUUUUUUAUUUUUUAUUUUUUAUUUUUUUUAUUUUUUUAUUUUUAUUUUUUUUUAUUUUAUUUUAUUUUUUUUUCUUCGUUUUUUUCGUUUUUGUUUUUUUUUUUUUUUAAAUAAAGUUUCUUGGAUCUAAUUCUGAUUGACAUGAUGAAAUGUAAUAUGAAAUGCCAAAUGAAUGCAUGAAUGAGGAGAGCAAAUUUUG
rnacentral:lncRNA from 1 species